ACGGCGAGUGAAGCGGCUACAGCUCAAAUUUGAAAUCUGGCCUCCUUUGGGGGUCCGAGUUGUAAUUUGCAGAGGAUGCUUUGGCAUUGGCGGCGGUCUAAGUUCCUUGGAACAGGACAUCGCAGAGGGUGAGAAUCCCGUACGUGGGCGCCUGCCUUUGCCGUGUAAAGCUCCUUCGACGAGUCGAGUUGUUUGGGAAUGCAGCUCUAAAUGGGAGGUAAAUUUCUCCUAAAGCUAAAUACCGGCCAGAGACCGAUAGCGCACAAGUAGAGUGAUCGAAAGAUGAAAAGUACUUUGGAAAGAGAGUCAAAUAGCACGUGAAAUUGUUGAAAGGGAAGCGCUUGCAGCCAGACUUGCCCGCAGUUGCUCACCUAGGCUUUCGCCUGGGGCACUCUUCUGCGGGCAGGCCAGCAUCAGUUUGGGCGGUCGGAUAAAGGCCUCUGUCAUGUACCACCCCUCGGGGUGGCCUUAUAGGGGAGGCGUAAUGCGACCAGCCCGGACUGAGGUCCGCGCAUCUGCUAGGAUGCUGGCGUAAUGGCUGUAAGCGGCCCGUCU
rnacentral:rRNA from 1 species